UGGAUACUAUAAAUUACAUGGAUAUGAAACGCCUCUAGAUUACAGUGAUUCCAGAUAGUAUCCGGAGUUUUGCUGGGAGGAGGAUUGUCUCACAGCUACCAGAAAAUGAAGAGCUACUGGCAAGCAAAGAAUCUGUUGCCACAAGAGUCUACAAUUGAAAGCUAAAGUGAUACCACUAUGAUUGGCAUUAACUAGGUCUGUAAACCAGACUACACCUCAGACAAUGCCUUGCGAGAAGAAGGAACCAUUCAUUGACUGGCGAAAGAAUGACACGAGAAUGUGACGUCCACAUGUCUAUGUCAAAGCCUCUACUCCACAUCAGCUAUUAUAGCCAAGCAUUAUCAUGAUUCAUUCAUUUCCAAUCUAUCUAGACACAUAGUUUUUGUUAUUACUAAAUAGUAAUAAUAUUUUGUGCUAUAUUAAAUCCCAGAAUGCACAUGUAAAGUGUAUUCUUGUUAUUGUCAAGCCUCCAUCAUCAUCAUUCUCAGUCAGAAA